UACGGGGGGAGCAAGCGUUGUUCGGAAUUACUGGGCGUAAAGGGCGCGUAGGCGGCCCGCUAAGUCGAACGUGAAAUCCCCGAGCUCAACUCGGGAACUGCGUCCGAUACUGGCGGGCUUGAAUCCGGGAGAGGGAUGCGGAAUUCCAGGUGUAGCGGUGAAAUUCGUAGAGAUCGGGAGGAACACCCGUGGCGAAGGCGGCCAUCUGGACCAGUACUGACGCUGAGGCACGAAAGCGUGGGGAGCAAACAGG
rnacentral:rRNA from 1 species